rnacentral:rRNA from 1 species
UUGGGAGGGGGGGUCACACGCCGGCCAUCAACCCCUAGAGGCGAGUGCCUCCUCACUAGGGUCUGUGAGCUCAUCGACCCGGACAUGGGCGACUGGGAUCGGGACCUCGUUGAGGGAUGCUUUCAUGUAGGUGAUGUGCCCUCCAUUCUGAGUAUUCCUAUUAGGUCAGACGAUUUUCUGGUUUGGCAUUAUGAUAGCAAUGGUCGCUUCUCUGUCAAAUCGGCUUACAAAGUGCAUGUGGCUGUACUGAAGCGGGAGGCUUCCAUGCAGAGAGGUCAGAGCUCGUCUGUUGAUGUUGCUCGCUCGGAAACUUUCAGUCUCAUAUGGCAGCAAAAAUGUCCACCCAAAGUUCACCACUUCUUAUGGAGGCUUGCACACAACAGCCAUCCCAUGUAUAUGAACAUCGCCAGAAGGGGUGUCGACCUCGACACGCGUUGCGCAGUCUGCGGCCGCCUCUUUGAGGAUGGAGGGCAUCUAUUCCUGAACUGCAAAUGGGUUAAGCAACGGUGGCGAGCUCUUCAGUUGGAAGAAGUCAGAUUAAAGCUCACCCAUAUGCAGAAUGCGAGAGAAGUGAUUAAUGCGGUACUACGGCUUCCUAAUGAGCAAAGGAUGAUGAUCAUUGCACUUUUGUGGGCAUGGUGGUCAGAGAGGAACAAAGGAAACCACGGAGAGCGGCGCUCAAGAGUUGAUGAAUUUCAAUAUCUGGUUCGGUUCCAUGUAGACGAAUGGCGCAUGUACCUUGAUCCUGCUCCCCCAAACCGAGUGGCCUCCGUCCGAGAAUGGCAACCACCACCCCCAGAUCUAGUCAAGAUCAACACUGAUGGUGCGUACAAUGCUGAAACUGGUGAGGGAGGGUGGGGAAUAAUCUGCCAUGACUCAAACAGUGAGAUUCUCUUUGCCGCUGCGGGUUCUUCAGGCUACCUCUCGGGUGCAUUGCAUGCUGAGACUAUGGCCCUGGUGCAUGCCAUCAACACUGCUGACCAACUGGGGGUGGGGAAAGUUCAGUUUGAAACGGACUGUUGUGUACUAGUGUGGUGCAUACACCACGUGAAUGUAACAAACCAGCGUAUGUGCUGGCUUCGUUCGGUUCGGGUCUACCUACUGGGACUAGGGACCAGUGGUUUGAGAACUAUCCUGAAUUUGUAA